rnacentral:rRNA from 1 species
GAUGAACGCUGGCGGCGUGCUUAACACAUGCAAGUCGAACGGAAAGGCCCAAGCUUGCUUGGGUACUCGAGUGGCGAACGGGUGAGUAACACGUGGGUGAUCUGCCCUUCACUUCGGGAUAAGACUUGGAAACUGGGUCUCAUAUCAGAUAUGACCACUUCUUGCAUGUUGUGGUGGAAAGUUUUUUCGGUGUGGUAUCAGCUCGCGGCCUAUCAGCUUCUUUGUGGCGUAAUGGCCUACCAAGGCGUUGACGGGUAGUCGGUCUGUGGGAGUGUACGGCCGCAUUGGGACUGACGUGCGGCACAGGCUCCGAAGGGAGGCAGCAGUGGGGAAUCUUGCACGAUGGGCGCAAGGCUGAUGCAGCGGGGCCGCGUGGCGGAUGACGGCCUUCGGGUUGAAGACUCAUUUCGCUAGGAACGAAGCGUUUUGUGACGGUACCUAGAGAAGAAGCACCGGCUAACUACGUG